GUCAAGAAGCUCAAGGAAUGGUCAGAGAGGGCACUUCCUGUUUGGAAUCUUCUCAGGUUUUUGCCUGCCAUAUGAGUUCUGUUAUACUCACAGACACCAUUCAAACAGUUUUAGAAACUUUAGGGUGUUUUCUAUCCAAAGCCAAUAAUGAUGCAUAUUCUAGUUUCUGGGCAGUAGUAAUAACCAGAUUAAAUCAGGUACGUUUUUUAUCCGGCCGUGUAAAUACUGCCCCCUACCCCCAACAGGUUAAGGGGACAGGACAACUUCACUGCAUCAAAGGGACGAUGGACGGGGCCAUGUACCGUCAAAUCUUGGAGAGAGAAAUACAGCCGAUUUGUUGGAAUUUAUCAAGGAAAGUCAAUUGUCAAGGCAGAGUGCCAAUGUGGCUGUUCGCCAAGUUUCUCUAGGAGACAGCUUCUGUAUAAAUGAUGUCAACCCACAGAAAGGCUGUCCUGUCCUGCACCUCUACCUGAGUUUUGUGUGCAAAACUGUGUGCAAACCUGGUGGCCAACUACAAGAAACGUCUGACCUCUGUGAUACUAAGUCAUGUUUUGCAGAGAGGUCAAAUACUUAUUUCCCUCAUUAC
rnacentral:lncRNA from 1 species